rnacentral:rRNA from 1 species
AUUGAACGCUGGCGGCAGGCCUAACACAUGCAAGUCGAGCGGAUGAAGGGAGCUUGCUCCUGGAUUCAGCGGCGGACGGGUGAGUAAUGCCUAGGAAUCUGCCUGGUAGUGGGGGAUAACGUCCGGAAACGGGCGCUAAUACCGCAUACGUCCUGAGGGAGAAAGUGGGGGAUCUUCGGAACUCACGCUAUCAGAUGAGCCUAGGUCGGAUUAGCUAGUUGGUGGGGUAAAGGCCUACCAAGGCGACGAUCCGUAACUGGUCUGAGAGGAUGAUCAGUCACACUGGAACUGAGACACGGUCCAGACUCCUACGGGAGGCAGCAGUGGGGAAUAUUGGACAAUGGGCGAAAGCCUGAUCCAGCCAUGCCGCGUGUGUGAAGAAGGUCUUCGGAUUGUAAAGCACUUUAAGUUGGGAGAAAGGGCAGUAAGUUAAUACCUUGCUGUUUUGACGUUACCAACAGAAUAAGCACCGGCUAACUUCGUG